rnacentral:rRNA from 1 species
GACGAAGGGGGCUAGCGUUGUUCGGAAUUACUGGGCGUAAAGCGCGUGUAGGCGGUUGCCCAAGUCGGGUGGGAAAGCCUUGAGCUCAACUCAAGAAAUGCACUCGGUACUGGGUGACUAGAGGACCGGAGAGGAUAGUGGAAUUCCCAGUGUAGUGGUGAAAUACGUAGAGAUUGGGAAGAACACCAGUGGCGAAGGCGGCUAUCUGGACGGUUUCUGACGCUAAGACGUGAAAGCGUGGGGAGCAAACAGG